rnacentral:misc_RNA from 1 species
GAAAUGCGAAAAGCAAUGCGAAUUGCAGAAUUCCGCGAGUCAUCAGAUCUUCGAACGCAUCUGGCGCCGAUCGGAUCUCCGUUCGGCAUGUUUGUUUCAGUGUCUUGUUGAGACUCACAUAUCUCAAUGUGAUUGAUACACCGGUUGGGGUCUCACGAUCCACAACAUGGUAUAUCUCUCAUGAAGUUAGGACUGCGGCAACCGACCGAUGCAGUAGUCAGUCUUGUACUGAUACUCAUUGGGAUGGGAGCCUACACAACAGUCACAACAUAUUCAUUUGACAUCCACAACGCAUCUGAGACAAGCAAGAUCACCCGCUGAACUUAA